AUGUGUAUUGGCUAAUGUGUCUUGGCUAAGGUGUCUUGGCUAAUGUGUCUCGGCUAAGGUGUCUUGGCUAAGGUGUCUUGGCUAAGGUGUCUUGGCUAAUGUGUCUUGGCUAAUGUGUCUUGGCUAAUGUGUCUCGGCUAAGGUGUCUUGGCUAAUGUGUCUUGGCUAAUGUGUCUUGGCUAAGGUGUCUUGGCUAAUGUGUCUUGGCUAAGGUGUCUUGGCUAAGGUGUCUUGGCUAAUGUGUCUUGGCUAAGGUGUCUUGGCUAAGGUGUCUCUGCUAAUGUGUCUCGGCUAAAGUGUCUUGGCUAAUGUGUCUUGGCUAAGGUGUCUUGGCUAAGAUGUCUUGGCUAAGGUAUCUUGGCUAAUGUGUCUUGGCUAAGGUGUCUUGGCUAAUGUGUCUUGGCUAAUGUGUCUUGGCUAAUGUGUCUUGGCUAAGGUGUCUUGGCUAAGGUGUCAUGGCUAAGGUGUCUUGGCUAAUGUGUCUUGGCUAAUGUGCCUUGGCUAAUGUGUCUUGGCUAAUGUGUCUUGGCUAAUGUGUCUUGGCUAAGGUGUCUUGGCUAAGGUGUCUUGGCUAUUGUGUCUUGGCUAAGGUGUCUUGGCUAAGGUGUCUUGGCUAAGGUGUCUUGGCUAAUGUGUCUUGGCUAAUGUGUCUUGGCUAAGGUGUCUUGGCUAAGGUGUCUUGGCUAAUGUGUCUUGGCUAAUGUGUCUUGGCUAAUGUGUCGGAGAAUGUGU